UACGUAGGGUGCAAGCGUUGUCCGGAAUUAUUGGGCGUAAAGAGCUCGUAGGCGGUUUGUCGCGUCGGAUGUGAAACCCCGGGGCUUAACCCCGGGCCUGCAUUCGAUACGGGCUGACUAGAGUUCGGCAGGGGAGACUGGAAUUCCUGGUGUAGCGGUGAAAUGCGCAGAUAUCAGGAGGAACACCGAUGGCGAAGGCAGCUCGCUGGGACGGUACUGACGCUGAGGCGCGAAAGCGUGGGGAGCAAACAGG
rnacentral:rRNA from 1 species